rnacentral:rRNA from 1 species
CUACGGGUGGCUGCAGUGAGGAAUAUUGCACAAUGGGGGGAACCCUGAUGCAGCAACGCCGCGUGGAGGAUGACGCAUUUCGGUGCGUAAACUCCUUUUAUAUGUCAAGAAAAUGACGGUAGCAUAUGAAUAAGCACCGGCUAACUCCGUGCCAGCAGCCGCGGUAAUACGGAGGGUGCAAGCGUUACUCGGAAUCACUGGGCGUAAAGGACGCGUAGGCGGGCUUGUAAGUCAGGUGUGAAAUCCUACAGCUUAACUGUAGAACUGCACUUGAAACUACGAGCCUAGAGUAUGGGAGGGGGAGAUGGAAUUAGUGGUGUAGGGGUAAAAUCCGUAGAUAUCACUAGGAAUACCUAAAGCGAAGGCGAUCUCCUGGAACAUAACUGACGCUAAGGCGUGAAAGCGUGGGGAGCAAACAGGAUUAGAUACCCGAGUAGUC